AACCAACCCGUCUUGCCGCCGUCUUCUACUAUUUUCAGUCUGGCGUGGACUCCUGCGACCGGCGGACUGGUCACUGGGGCUUGCCGGCGAGUGGGGUGGCGAGCGCCCGGAAAGAGCUGGGAGGCUAGAGGCUGGUCAUGGCUCCUGGGCUCGUCUCGUCGCGGCCGGGCAGGCGACGCCGGCGCCGCGCGCAGAGAUCCGGAGGCAUUGAUGGUUAAGGGGAUCCCGUCAAAACUGGUCAAGGGGGAAACCAUUGAUGCAUCUUACAAAAGAAAGAGAGGUGAGUCUGAAGCCAACAAACCAACAUUAAUCCAAGCAGAACCAAGCAUCCUGUGUUGUUGCUCGAAUUUGAGAUUAUUAAGACAAUGCUACAUAUACGAUGGAAGAUAAUUUUCUAGCCAAUAGCUUGAUAGUCAGCAUAAAGAGUAAAAUCAUGGAGAAGUACACCUAUGAAGAUGUUCUUAUGCAAUUUAGGAGCACAGGGAUAGGAGCUGAUCUAUAUUGAUUAAUUUAAUACUCCAUGGUUAAGUACUCCCUCCGUUCCAAAAUAACUGUCUUUGAUUUAGUACAAGUUUAUGCUAAAGUUGUAUUAAAUAAAAGACACUUAUUUUGGGACGGAGGGAGUAGUAUUUUGGUACACUUUCUUUUGUUAUGGAGUAGCUGAUGCAUACAGUUAAAGUUAUGAGUGUACUCCCUCUGUUUCUUUUUACUCCGCAUAUAAGAUUUGGUCAAAGUCAAACUACACAAAGUUUGACCAAAUUUAUAUUAAAAAAUAUGAACAUCUACAAUAUUAAAACUAUAUAGUAUGAAAAUACAUUUUGUGGUGCAUCUGAUAAUAUUGAUUUCAUAUUGUCAAUGUUUAUAUUUUUUAAUAUAAAGUUAGUGAAACUUUACAAAGCUUGACUUUGACCAAACCUAAUAUGCAGACUAAAAAGAAACGGAGGGAGUAUUUUGUAAACUAACAUGAAGAGAGAUCAACAUUAUUAUCUAUGUUUCUGACUAUUCUGCAAAAUCUAGCUUGUUCUAGUCCUACAAUUUCGUAGUUGUUGUUGAAUACAAUACACUAAAAAUGUAUGCAAUACCACUGUAUAUAAUGGUUGAGUGUAAGAUAACCAGUUUCGAUCUUUCUCUGAUCAUAAUUGAUUCCCGUGAACCAACAGCUAGAAGAUCUUGCCCAAUAAUUUGUAAGUCCAUGGAACAGGCCAGUUGUGUAUGAUACAGACAGUGCCGGUCGGCUAUGGUAAAGUAAAAUACACGAGAAACUAAUGCUGUUUUAAUAUUACUAUAACAGAAGUAGAACAAGCCGUCCGUCCAAUCAAUAUUACUGCACUGUGGACCAAGACACAUAAUUCUGGUUGGCCAUGAUUAUCCGUUUUAUGGCACCCAAUUCUUUCACCACAGCGCCCAUCUUUAUGCGCUGUCUUGCAGAGCCCCUGCAGCAAGCUAGACCAAGUCUUGAAACUGGAGCAGCGAACAAUUCUAAAGUCACUUGAGGCUCUUGAUUGCAUCUUAUAUUGACGUCCAUUAUAUCCAACAGAUUACCAGGACAUGCCAUCUUAACGUACUUUGGUAGAUUCGUACUAGUUUUAAUAUUACUAUAACAGAAGUAGAACAAGCCGUCCGGCACACCAUAGCAUGUCCUGGUAAGUAGUAUCGCCGAAUCUACCAGUAAGAUGGCAUGUCCUGGUAAGUAGUAUUUGGAGUAGUAUCACCGAAAAAUGGGUCAGUUGGCCUUCUCCCAGUAAGCAUCUCCAACAAUAGCACACCAUAGCUGUACACGUCGCCUUCCACAGAUAUUCCUGUCCCCGUGCCAUACUCUGGUAAAGAAAGGAAAAGAAAGGGUUUGUGUUAGCUUUCUUAUAAACUACUCCCUCUGUUCCGAAAUAGUUGUCAUCGGGGAUUAUCAGUUCAUUUUUUGUCACGUUACGAUAUUUCUCCCGUUUCCCCUUUUGCCCUCGCACUCGCUCUCUCCCCGACCACACGCUCUCUCCCGGCCAACACUCUCUCCCCGACCACUCGCUCCUCCCCGCCCAGAUCCCUUGCGCCGCCGGCUAGUCGCCGCCCUCUCCCUCUCGUCGGUGUCUUCCUCACCGCAGCCUUGCUCCUCACCACCCCUAAAACUAGCAACCCGUCUCCCCCUCGUCGGUCAAAGGUGAAAUUUUUACCAGCCGGGGUGCUCGAUCUGUGGGCGGCGGUGCUCGAUCCGUGUUGGAGCAGCGGGAGGAGGAGGGCAGUGCUGGAUUGGAGCAGCGGUGCUGGACCGGAGCAGCGGGAAUAGGGGGGUGGUGCCGGCCGCUCUUACUUUGUGUAGUCCUCUUCGCUCUCGUCAUGUCGUUGCCGCCGCCGAGGAAGAUGGAGAGCCUGUCGGAGGGAGGAGCGCCAUGGCCAGUUCUGACCUCCUCCGUCCAGAUCCAGCUCCAGCAAUCAUCCCCUCUUGCUGCUUGCUCUCUCAAUUUCAAGACUGAAGAAGAGAACAUGGGGAGCAGCAGCUGCCCUCUGCUCUGCUCUUAUGCGAAUGCUCUACUGCAGGACCGUGGCAGCGAUGCUCGCCGAAGCGGACGACAACCACUCCCGUGCAAACAAAGGUGAGCAUUCAGGAAAAGAACACUUGGCUAAACUUCAGGAAAAAGAUGCACCGAAUCUUAGUAAGCGGAUACUCAUAGCCGAAUUCUUUUGGAUGCACAUAUAGUUUGUAUCGCAACUUAAAUAAUGACAGUAAAUAAACUCUCAAUUGCACUGUCCAGUAAUUGAAAAUAAAUUACACCUUUUCAGUUAAUUUAAAUUAACUGAAACCUUUUGUACUCCCAUGAUCAGUGUUACUGUACAGUAAUUAACACCGAAUUUGUAAGUGCAAGUAGUGCUUGUUUUCAGGAGUAGGAUGCUGAUCAAUAGUGCUUGUUUGGAGUAAUUGUUUGCUCUGUAGUGCAUUUUCGCUGCAACCUAAUCUGUGGAGUAUCAAGCUAAUUGGAAGAAAGCCAAUUGCUUGCUCUGUAGGAACUUUUAUGUGCUGGAGUAUAGGAUUUGCUGUUUAGCAAGGCUUUGAGUAAUUCUACUCACUUCUCUUCUCUUCAGUAAAUUAAAUUUAGGAGUAGGAGUAGUUCUUAGAACUACUAUGCACCUUAAAACUACUCCUGUUAAUUAACUGAAACUACUCUGCACCUUAGAACUACUCCUGUUAAUUAACUGAAAAAACUUUUUUAAGUUAAUUAACUUAAUUUCUUUCUGUUAAGAGUAGGAGUAGUUCUUGGAGUAGGAAGAGGAGCAGUGCGAAGAAUUCUCUUCUCUUCUCUUACUCUUCUCUUCUCUACUCUCGCUCUCUUCUCUUCGCUUCUCUUCUCUUCGCUUCUCUUCUCUUCUCUUUCUCUUCUCUUUUCAGUAGUCUGCUCCAAAAUUCUGCAAUGAGGCCCGUGUUUCCACUGCUAUUUAUUUUCUGAAUCACAUUUUCAGUUUUGCAAAUUCUGCAAUUUUGCACAUGAAGCUUCAGAUUUUAGCACAUGAAGCUUCUGCUACUGUUAAUCUUGUCAUGAAUCUUCUGUUGACUUGGUACAUUAGCUUAAAAUGAAUCUUUUCCUUUAAGUAAAACUAAAUGAAACUUUUUUUUGUUAAUUUAACAGUUGCAGACUUGCAGUAGUAUAGCACUUGCAGUAGUGUAGGACAUCAGUAGUUUAGUGUAGGACAGCAAUAGUUUGGUGUAAGUUUCAGUUCAUUAACUGAAUUUUUUCAGUUACUUAACUGAAACUUUUUCAGUUACAGCAGGACUUCUCUUCUCUCUUCUUCUCUCUUCUCUUUCUCUUCUUGCAUCUGUAGUUUAGUGUACUUCCCUUGUGCCCUCCAUACUCCUCUCCUCUCCCACUCAUUUCCUCUCCUACUACUUUGCUUGUUCUCUUCUCUAAAUUAUCUUCUCAUCUCUAAAUUCACUCAUCUUGUCUCCUACUACUCUCUUCUCUUCUCUUUCAUUUAAAUGGAGUACUCCACACAAGCAAAUGAAUUACACAUACAAGUCUCACAAAAUGGAGAAAAAAUAUAUGGAGUAAAAAUGAUCACAAAAUGGAGUUACACAUACAAGCCUCACAAAAUGGAGUAUUACACAUAUGGAGUAAUUUCACAUGGGAUGCACUCCGCACAAGUCUCAUCUCAAGGAACUACACAUACUCCACAUCUGAACAAGCCUCAUGUCAAGCAUCGGAACAAGCCUCAUCUCAAGUAUCUGAACAAGCUCAUCUCAAGCAUCUGAACAAGCCUCAUGUCAAGAAUCGGAACAAGCCUCAUCUCAAGCAUCUGAACAAGCCUCAUGUCAAGCAUUGGAACAAGCCUCAUCUCAAGCAUCUGAACAAGCCUCAUGUCAAGCAUUGGAACAAGCCUCAUCUCAAGCAUCCGAACAAGCCUCAUCUCAAGCAUCCGAACAAGCCUCAUCACUGAACCCUCCCCAUUACCUCUAAGUUGUAUAGGGCAUUCGUGUAAACCUCUUUCGCGCAUGUUAGUCUUGGAGGUAGCUGCCCAAGACCCUCAAGCCUUUCCUUGUUAACAUGUGGUAUUUUAUAUCCAUUUCCCCCCGCAUGAUUCAUGAUCUCAAUCAUGCACAUUUUUAGAGUUAGGAAAAUUCUGUUGAGCUUGUAAACAUCAUAGCCUUCAAAUUCCUCCAAAACACCUGCAAUAAGGUCUUGUAGUGUUUUAGGACUCAGACAAUCUGUCAGCAAUUGCAGCGAGUUGAAAAACCCAAGGUCAAGCACAUUCAAAUCAGGACUGUUGGCAGGCUGUUGUACUAAUCUGAUGUCAAGUCCAGUUUUUGCGACAGCUGCUAGAAAUUCCUGGUCAUCUGGCAAGAUAUGGGGCUUAGCAUUAUCCUGCUGAAUGUAGAUGGUCUGUCCAGCAUCACUUUCCGGCCAAACUGCUUGUAUCGCUGGCAAGACUUUCUCUAUCAGGAACUCCCUCAUCACUUUUCUGUCGACCUUUAUUGACUUUGUCUCUAUUGUACCUUUGGGCCUGUUGUCGCUUCUCCUCUAAGCAGGAACUUCUUUCACAAAUGGCCAGAUACCGAUUUUCCCAGAGAAGGUCACGUUUCCUUCGCUGUCCCACCUUGGCCUAGCAACGGCCGUUAAAAACAUCACCUUGCCAAUACAGUUGCCGUGUAUAGGCCUCGUAGGCUCUUCCUCCCCAUCCAGCAGAUAAUAUGUUCUAUUCUUCUUUGUCAUGUUAAACCACUUCUCGUCAAUAUGGACAACGUUAUGCAUAGUCUUGAACUUAGGCCUCGCAGUUGCUGUUGUUGCCUCAUCAAGCAUCGACAAACAAAAAUUCAUCCUAUCCAUCUUAUUCUUUUCCUUUAAAGCCGGCUUCACACAGUUUGUAUGCCUCCUAAUCAAAUUUAGCAUGAACUUUCUAUGAAGUGUAGUAGGGCUACAUCCUAGUUGCCAGGCUAGUGAUCUAAUAGUAGACCUCCUGUUUAAUGGGAUUGUUAGGAUUUUUUCUAGGUUAAUGUCCUUAGGCUUUCUUCCAGAAUUUCCUUUUCUCUGAUCGGCAACAUCUACCUCUUGACCUUGUUGAAUUUGCAACAUUGCUUUCCUCCAAAUUCUUUGUAUAUUCCAAACACCCACUCCAAAAAAAUUUGCAAUAUCUUGCGUAUCAGUUUUCUUAAAAGUGCCUCCUCUACUCAUACACAGUGUAUGCAAUGCUACAUAAGCAGCAAAUUUUUGCUGGUCAUUGAGGGUUUUAUUUUUUCUACCAACUUGCCCAGCACCUGCACCAAGACAUACAACAAAGAAAUGAAUAAAUGAAAUGAUCAAGUGAUGAAGUGAUGGAAUGAUCAAGUGAUGAAAUGAUCAAGUGUAACUGUACCUGGAUUUUGAACAAUUUCAUCUCCUUCCAUUCCCUCUCCGGCAUCUCCUUCCAUAUCAUCUCCUACAUGUCCUUCCAUUUCAUUUUCUGCAUUUUCAUCCAUUUCAUCCACAUCUUCUGCAGGUGGAGCGAACUUGAGGUCUGGGAGAUCCAUUUUCUCCUGAAGAUAUGAAUAUGUAAGAUGAAGUAGAAGUAGAAGUAGAAGUAGAAGUAGAAGUACAAGAAGAAGAAGAAGAAGAAGAAGAAGAAGAAGAAGAACAUAUAAAUUCAGUCUGUGUACUGUCAAUUGUUGUAUGUUUACUGUCAAAGCAAGAAUUAGUCAAUUGCUGUCUGUUUACUGUCAAAUCAAGAAUGACAAUAUUGUUAUGGUCAAUUGUUGUCCGUUUACUGUCAAAGCAAGAAUUAGUUUCCUAGGUUAAUGAAACAUUACCAGCCAUAAUUAGUUUUAUGUAUCUUAAUUAUCUCUGAACAUUUUUGCCUGAAAACUGAAUGUACAAUGUUUCUGUAGAUAAUUUGGUCGAAAAGGGACGACAUGCUGAGGUGUACAACAUUCAGUUUCUCUUUCGACAUGCUGAGCUCUAUAAGUGCUCACAUUCUUUGUAUGGAUCUUAUUGAAUGAGUACUUGUUAACAUUGGUACCAUUUUCUUCAGAUUUUCGUUGGUGGUCUUCUGAUUGAUUUGGAAGGAAGAAUUGUUGGUAUGAAUUUCAUAGACGAGAAUAGAACUCCCUUUUUGCCCGUCCAAAUUGUUGGGAGAUGCCUGAAACACUUCAGAAAUUUGGGACACUUCUUUCCUGUAUAUGGGACGAUUGCUUGAAGGAUUUGGUGUUGGUGUCAUAUCCUACACGUUUUGACAGGUGAACAGAUGGACAGUGGCUGCUCCUUGCUGAUCAAUUCAAAAUUGCUCUGGCUAUCAAUUCAAGCUUGCUGUGACUGGUGAGAAGACGUCCUGGUCAAUCACCACAUCUGAUCAAUUUCAGUCUGUGGCGAGAAGAAGUGGUACAACUCCGGCGAUCAAUUUCUUUGGCGAUUAACAAUUUUGAUCAAUUCAAACAGCAACACAGGCAGCGCUAGUGCUGCUGUUGGUCAGUGCGGGGAGGAGCACGGGCGGAGGUCAAUUGGCCGGAUCCGGAGCUCCAGUGCCUAAAUCGAGGAGCUGGAAGGCUGAGGCAGGAGGAGGAGCACAGGCUGCGCUGCUGCGGCUGUUGGUCAGUGCGGGGAGGAGCACGGACGGAGGUCAAUUGGCCGGAUCCGGAGCUCCAGUGCCUGAAUCGAGGAGCUGGAAGGCUCAGGCAGGAGGAGGAGGAGCACGGGCGGCGCUGCUGCUGGUCGGUGCGGGGAGGAGCAUGGGCGGCGCGAAGGCCAGGAGUCGCGGGCGGCUGGAGGCUGUGGCGGACGGCGAGGGAGCUGCGUACGAGUUUGGGCUCUUGAUUGGAGCGGAGGAAGGCGCCCGAUGAGGGAGCUGCGACCGGCGCGGACGGACGCCGGAGCUGCAGCAGUGGGAUGGAGCCUGGCGAAGGGGAGGAGCGAUGGAGUAAGACGAAGAUCCCCAGCGACAAGAAUUUCAAAUUGAGGGUAGUUUGGUACUUUAUCCUGUUUUCACCUGGUCGGAAAAGUUCCCCAACGACAACUAUUUCAGAACAGAGGGAGUAUAUGGUAUAAAUAUAAUUCAUUCCACUCAAAUUCCUUAGUCGUUUACAUAUACUCCCUCCGUCCCAUAAUGUAAGACGCUUUUUGACACUACACUAGUGUGGAAAAACGUUUUACAUUAUGGGACAGAGGUAGUAGUAGUUAAUUGUAUUCUCGGCACAACAAAUUAUGGUAAAUGGAUACACAUUUUUUUUUA